UACAGAGACCUCAAGCGUUAUCCGGAAUCAUUGGGCGUAAAGCGUACCGAUAGGUGGUUUUACAAGUCAGAGGUGAAAUCCCAAGGCUCAACUUUGGGACUGUCCUUUGAAACUGUACAACUAGAGGGGCAAAGAGGAAGCUGGAACGAACGGUGUAGUAGUGAAAUGACGUUGAUAUCGUUCGGAACACCAAUGAGCGUAGGCAGGC
rnacentral:rRNA from 1 species